rnacentral:rRNA from 1 species
CCUACGGGUGGCAGCAGUGGGGAAUAUUGGACAAUGGGCGAAAGCCUGAUCCAGCCAUGCCGCGUGUGGGAAGAAGGCCUUCGGGUUGUAAAGCACUUUCAGUGGGGAAGAAAGCCUUGGGGCUAAUACCCUCGAGGAAGGACAUCACCCACAGAAGAAGCACCGGCUAACUCCGUGCCAGCAGCCGCGGUAAUACGGAGGGUGCGAGCGUUAAUCGGAAUUACUGGGCGUAAAGCGCGCGUAGGCGGUCUGAUAAGCCGGUUGUGAAAGCCCCGGGCUCAACCUGGGAACGGCAUCCGGAACUGUCAGGCUAGAGUGCAGGAGAGGAAGGUAGAAUUCCCGGUGUAGCGGUGAAAUGCGUAGAGAUCGGGAGGAAUACCAGUGGCGAAGGCGGCCUUCUGGACUGACACUGACGCUGAGGUGCGAAAGCGUGGGUAGCAAACAGGAUUAGAUACCCGAGUAGUC